rnacentral:snRNA from 1 species
AAUUGAACCCGACGAGGACCAUAAUGGGAUCAGGCAGCCAGUGGGACCAGGGCAAGGCUUUGCCAUUGCACAUCGGCUUAGCUACCAUUGCAAUUAAGCCAUGUUUGGGUAACUCGGUCGUAUAAUUUUUAGUAUAGGGGACUGAGUUCUACCACCUU